rnacentral:rRNA from 1 species
AAUGAACGCUGGCGGCAUGCCUAACACAUGCAAGUCGAACGAAGGCUUCGGCCUUAGUGGCGCACGGGUGCGUAACGCGUGGGAAUCUGCCCCUUGGUUCGGAAUAACAGUUAGAAAUGACUGCUAAUACCGGAUGAUGACGUAAGUCAAAAGAUUUAUCGCCGAGGGAUGAGCCGGCGUAGGAUUAGCUAGUUGGUGUGGUAAGAGCGCACCAAGGCGACGAUCCUUAGCUGGUCUGAGAGGAUGAUCAGCCACACUGGGACUGGGACACGGCCCAGACUCCUACGGGAGGCAGCAGUGGGGAAUAUGGGACAAUGGGCGAAAGCCUGAUCCAGCAAUGCCGCGUGAGUGAUGAAGGUCUUAGGAUUGUAAAGCUCUUUUACCCGGGAUGAUAAGGACAGUACCGGGAGAAUAAGCUCCGGCUAACUCCGU